CGUCUGAUUAGCUAGUUGGUGGGGUAAAGGCCUACCAAGGCGACGAUCAGUAGCCGGCCUGAGAGGGUGAACGGCCACACUGGGACUGAGACACGGCCCAGACUCCUACGGGAGGCAGCAGUGGGGAAUCUUCCGCAAUGGACGAAAGUCUGACGGAGCAACGCCGCGUGUAUGAUGAAGGUCUUCGGAUUGUAAAGUACUGUCUUUGGGGAAGAACGGUGGCUUUGAGAAUAUUGAGUUCACAUGACGGUACCCAAGGAGGAA
rnacentral:rRNA from 1 species